GUACACAAAAAUGCACAUACUGUGAGCUCGAUGAGUAGGGCGGGACACGUGGUAUCCUGUCUGAAUAUGGGGGGACCAUCCUCCAAGGCUAAAUACUCCUGACUGACCGAUAGUGAACCAGUACCGUGAGGGAAAGGCGAAAAGAACCCCGGCGAGGGGAGUGAAAAAGAACCUGAAACCGUGUACGUACAAGCAGUGGGAGCCUCUUAAUGGGGUGACUGCGUACCUUUUGUAUAAUGGGUCAGCGACUUAUAUUCUGUAGCAAGGUUAACCGAAUAGGGGAGCCGAAGGGAAACCGAGUCUUAACUGGGCGUUAAGUUGCAGGGUAUAGACCCGAAACCCGGUGAUCUAGCCAUGGGCAGGUUGAAGGUUGGGUAACACUAACUGGAGGACCGAACCGACUAAUGUUGAAAAAUUAGCGGAUGACUUGUGGCUGGGGGUGAAAGGCCAAUCAAACCGGGAGAUAGCUGGUUCUCCCCGAAAGCUAUUUAGGUAGCGCCUCGUGAAUUCAUCUCCGGGGGUAGAGCACUGUUUCGGCAAGGGGGUCAUCCCGACUUACCAACCCGAUGCAAACUGCGAAUACCGGAGAAUGUUAUCACGGGAGACACACGGCGGGUGCUAACGUCCGUCGUGAAGAGGGAAACAACCCAGACCGCCAGCUAAGGUCCCAAAGUCAUGGUUAAGUGGGAAACGAUGUGGGAAGGCCCAGACAGCCAGGAUGUUGGCUUAGAAGCAGCCAUCAUUUAAAGAAAGCGUAAUAGCUCACUGGUCGAGUCGGCCUGCGCGGAAGAUGUAACGGGGCUAAACCAUG
rnacentral:rRNA from 1 species